CCGACCUUAGCUCAGUUGGUAGAGCGGAGGACUGUAGUAGUUGCAGAUGAAUCCUUAGGUCGCUGGUUCGAAUCCGGCAGGUCGGA
rfam:Oryza barthii chromosome 3, whole genome shotgun sequence.